AUGAGCCUCCCAGGAGCACGCCUCCUGGCCGUCGCCAAGAACUGCACCCGCCGGCAGCUCAGCCAGAUCCAUGGCCUCCUCCUCACCUCCUCGCUCCACCGUCUCCCGGGCCUGCCCGCCCUCCUCGUCCGCCGCGCCACCGACGUCGGCGACAUGGCCCACGCCGACCUGCUCUUCUCCUCGUUCCUCCGGUCGGGGGCGCCGCCCGACGCCGCCCUCUACAACGCCAUGAUCCGCGGGUGCUCGUACCACGGCCCCCACGAGCGCGCGCUAGAGCUGUUCGACGAGAUGCCGCGCCGGGGCCUCGUCGCCGACGGCUUCACCUACCCGUACGUCCUGGACGCGUGCGCGCGGCUCAGCGCGCGGCGGCGCGGGGAGGGCGUCCAUGGCCGGGUCGUGAAGGAGGGGCUCGACCACGUGCCGGCCGUCGGGAGCUCGCUUCUCGCCUUCUACGUCUCCGUGUGUGGCGGCGGCUCGCUGGGCGACGCGCGGAGGCUGUUCGACGGAUUGCGCGUCAGGUCCGUGGGCCUGUCGAACCACAUGAUGGCGGAGCACGCCAAGGCCGGGGACGCCGGCUCCGCGCGGGGGGUCUUCGACGCGAUGGCAGACAGGGACGUCGUGUCGUGGAACACAAUGCUCGCCGUGCACGUCAAGUCAGGCGACAUCGCGGCGGCGAAGGAGCUUUUCGCUGAGAUGCCGGAGAGGGACGUCGUGUCAUGGACGACAAUGCUGAGGGCGCUGUCCGUGGCGGGCGACUUCGCCGGCAUGAGGAGCCUGUUCAGCCAGAUGCCGGAGAGGAACCUGGUGUCCUGGAACUGCGUGCUCUCGAGCUACACCCGGCACGGCAGGUUCUCGCAGGCGCUCCGCCUCUUCCCAUGGAUGCUGCUCGAAGGCCACACCCCCAACAGCUUCACCGUCGUGUCGCUCCUCUCGGCCUGCGAGCACCUCCGGAAGCUGCGGAUGGGCCGGUGGGUGCACGCCAACCUGGUGACGCCGGCGCUGCAGGCCCACGCCGCCGUCGGGACGGCGCUGGUGGAGAUGUACGCCAUGUGCGGCGACGUAGCCCGCGCGCUCGUCGUCUUCACCAAGAUGCGCGGCAAGGACGUGUUCGCCUGGAACGUGAUGAUCAGGGGCCUGGCGGUGCACGGGCGGGCCGGCGACGCGCUCAGGCUGUUCGACCUCAUGAGGCGGCAGGGCUUCCGGCCCGACCGCUUCACCUUCAUGGGCGUGCUGCUGGCGUGCAGCCACGGGGGACUCGUCGACGAAGGGCGCAGGGCGUUCGACGCGAUGCAGAGGGAGCACGGCGUCCGCCCCUCGCCGGAGCACUACGGCUGCCUGGUCGACCUGCUCUGCCGCGGAGGCGAUGUCGAUGGGGCGGUGGGAGUGGUGCGCGCGAUGCCUUGUCGGCCGGACCAGUGGGUCUGGAGAGCGCUGCUCGGCGGGUGCGGCGUUCGGGCCGGCCUCGGGUCGGCCGAGGUUCCGGCGACGGCGACGGCCACGGGUGGUUGGUCGGAGGAUGGCGAGCGUGCGCCGUUGAGCGAUCUCUUCAAGAUAAGCAACAUUGUCGACGACGAGCAGCGCGCCACCACGGCAAAGAACCCCACCAUUGCCUACCGGGUCGCCUCUGUCUGCGCCAUUAUCGAGGAGCACGACGCCAGCAAGACGCCCAUGAGCGCUAGCCGAGUUGCUGCCAUGUACUCCAUUGAAAGGUUGGAAGACUUGUGA
rnacentral:rRNA from 1 species